CGUCAAAUUCGGGGGGGAGUAUCACAAGCUCUUCCUGACACUUCUGUCGCUUCGGCCAGAAGUCGUCAAACUCGGGGGGGAGUAUCACAAACUCUUCCUGACACUCCUGUCGCUUUGGCCAGGAGAUGUCAAACAUUGAGCACGAUAGAUCUGUCGCUUCGGCCAGAUCAAUCGAGGAGAUAUUGAGCAUGGGAAGGAGCGGCACAAGAAGCAGCCCCUCACGGCAAGGU
rnacentral:lncRNA from 1 species